rnacentral:rRNA from 1 species
UACGAAGGGUGCAAGCGUUAAUCGGAAUUACUGGGCGUAAAGGGUGCGUAGGCGGUUCGUUAAGUCUGUCGUGAAAUCCCCGGGCUCAACCUGGGAAUGGCGAUGGAUACUGGCGAGCUAGAGUGUGUCAGAGGAUGGUGGAAUUCCCGGUGUAGCGGUGGAAUGCGUAGAGAUCGGGAAGAACAUCAGUGGCGAAGGCGGUCUGCUGGGCCGUUGCUGACGCUGAGGCGCGACAGCGUGGGGAGCAAACAGG